rnacentral:rRNA from 1 species
UACGUAGGGUGCGAGCGUUGCCCGGAUUUAUUGGGCGUAAAGGGCGCGUAGGCGGUCACGCACGUCCGUUGUUAAAUCGCUCGGCUCAACUGGGCGGGGUCAGCGGAUACGGCGUGGCUGGAGCAAGCUAGGGGGCAAUGGAAUUCCCGGUGUAGUGGUGGAAUGCGUAGAUAUCGGGAGGAACACCAGUGGCGAAGGCGGUUGCCUGGAGCUUUGCUGACGCUGAUGCGCGAAAGCGUGGGGAGCGAUCCGG